rnacentral:rRNA from 1 species
UACGUAGGGUGCAAGCGUUGUCCGGAAUUAUUGGGCGUAAAGAGCUCGUAGGCGGUUUGUUGCGUCGGCUGUGAAAUCCCGAGGCUCAACCUCGGGUCUGCAGUCGAUACGAGCAAACUAGAGUGUUGCAGGGGAGACUGGAAUUCCUGGUGUAGCGGUGAAAUGCGCAGAUAUCAGGAGGAACACCGAUGGCGAAGGCAGGUCUCUGGGCCACUACUGACGCUGAGAAGCGAAAGCAUGGGGAACGAACAGG